UAAAGAACGUUUCAUGUAAUACUACACGUCCAGGUUACUGUCUGGGUCACUGAACACGUGAAGUCAAAUCGGGGUGGGCCAGUAAGUUUCCAUACCAUACAGAGAACCUUCACCACGUGAAAAAGGUCCAACUGUAUCCAGAAUGAAACCAUCAGGCAGGGCUAUGCUCAUAGUUCCGCUUCUCCUGUCCACAGUAGGAAAUUCUCUGGAGCCUGUCAUCGGAAAUAUUAGGAUUAAAGCUAUAUGUACAGUCAAGUAUGACAGUUACCGCUUGCCAAAACUGCUUCUGAGAACACAGUGUUGUGCUCCAGAAUAUUUUCUCUUGUAAGAUGAUCAAGUCCAAGGAACAAAGGAACAAUGGUUAUUUGAUGUUUUAAUGUGGCAUGAAAUGUUUAUGAUUUACUGUAAACUGACAUUUUAAAAAGAGUUGAACAAACAAUAGUAUAUCCUCGUGGUUUAAAGUGUAAAUAGAAGUGGCAAUAGAGGAUGAACAAUAAGAUAGAAAGAACUUUUAGAAACUUUGUUUUUGUCCAACCAGUCCAAGCUUUACAAUCUGCAUCAUCCAGAGAGGAGCAAACACUUUAAGCUGAUCUCUAUAGGAAAUUAGCAUUGUUUGAUACCUCACCUUUGUAUUGGAAACUUCUCUUGACUUGUGUCCUUUGUAAAUUUCUUUAAAUUAUUAACAUAUUGAUAAUAAUAGUAUUUUCAUACUUUUUGCUGAAAUCAAAAUAGUGAAGCAAUGAAACUGAAAUGUAAAACACAAAAUACAACAAUCAUGAAUCAACUAUACUGUUGCUGUUAUCCAGUCCAGAAAGUCUUACUUGAUUGAUAAUAGGUAAUGAAUAAUUAUAUGUUAAUAGAUACCAGCAAUUAAACUUUAUAGACCACGUCUAAAUAAAACCACACGAAA